rnacentral:rRNA from 1 species
ACGGGUGAGUAACACGUGGGUGACCUACCUUCGAGUGGGGGAUAACGUCCCGAAAGGGACGCUAAUACCGCAUAAUAUCCCGCCUUUGAACAGGUGGAGAUCAAAGCUAGGGACCGCAAGGCCUGGCACUUGAAGAGGAGCCUGCGCCCGAUUAGCUAGUUGGCGGGGUAACGGCCCACCAAGGCAACGAUCGGUAGCCGGCCUGAGAGGGCGGACGGCCACACUGGGACUGAGACACGGCCCAGACUCC